rnacentral:rRNA from 1 species
UACGUAGGGGGCAAGCGUUGUCCGGAUUUAUUGGGCGUAAAGAGCGUGUAGGCGGCUUGUUAAGUCUUGCGUGAAAUCUCGGGGCUCAACCCCGAGCGGUCGUGAGAAACUGGCAGGCUAGAGUGCGGGAGAGGAGAGUGGAAUUCCUGGUGUAGCGGUGAAAUGCGCAGAUAUCAGGAGGAACACCCAUUGCGAAGGCAGCUCGCUGGGACGUUACUGACGCUGAGACGCGAAAGCGUGGGGAGCAAACAGG